AGACCCGAAACCCGGUGAUCUAGCCAUGGGCAGGUUGAAGGUUGGGUAACACUAACUGGAGGACCGAACCGACUAAUGUUGAAAAAUUAGCGGAUGACCUGUGGCUGGGGGUGAAAGGCCAAUCAAACCGGGAGAUAGCUGGUUCUCCCCGAAAGCUAUUUAGGUAGCGCCUCGUGAAUUCAUCUCCGGGGGUAGAGCACUGUUUCGGCUAGGGGGCCAUCCCGGCUUACCAACCCGAUGCAAACUGCGAAUACCGGAGAAUGUUAUCACGGGAGACACACGGCGGGUGCUAACGUCCGUCGUGAAGAGGGAAACAACCCAGACCGCCAGCUAAGGUCCCAAAGUCAUGGUUAAGUGGGAAACGAUGUGGGAAGGCCCAGACAGCCAGGAUGUUGGCUUAGAAGCAGCCAUCAUUUAAAGAAAGCGUAAUAGCUCACUGGUCGAGUCGGCCUGCGCGGAAGAUGUAACGGGGCUAAACCAUGCACCGAAGCUGCGGCAGCGAACGUAUCACUUAAAGCGAUUCAGCGGGUUACGAUUGACGGAGCGAAGCGACGUCAAAGCGUAUACAAAGUCGAGUCGGUUUAAGGAUACGUUCGUUGGGUAGGGGAGCGUUCUGUAAGCCUGCGAAGGUGGCCUGUGAGGGUUGCUGGAGGUAUCAGAAGUGCGAAUGCUGACAUAAGUAACGAUAAAGCGGGUGAAAAGCCCGCUCGCCGGAAGACCAAGGGUUCCUGUCCAACGUUAA
rnacentral:rRNA from 1 species